GCCUUUGUGGUGUAGUGGUCAGCACAUUCAAUGCGUAACUGAGAGGUCCAUGGUUCAAUUCCCGGUGAAGGCA
rnacentral:tRNA from 1 species